rnacentral:lncRNA from 1 species
UGCUGCACUUGCAGUCGGCGCUCUUGGGGAGGCCCAGGCUGCAGCUGAAGCAGAGCCCGGCCUCCCGCUUCACGGGCUUCAUCGUCACCAUGGCCUUCUCCUCCUGGCACGGCGCCGCCGGCGGGCUGAUGCAGAGGUCCAGGUUGAGGUCGGGGCACUUGAGCGGCUUCCCCUGGCCCCAGUCGCCGGCGGGGUGGUGGUUCUGAUGAUGAUCGCGGCCGAUCGCGGCGGCCGCCGCCGCCGUCGCCUUGUUGUGCUCCUCCAGCCGGAACACGGCGCCCUUAUUCUCCUCACGGUCACGCGCGGCCGCCGCCGCCUCGAACGAGAUGGUUAUGUUGGACGUGUGCUCGUUGAUGGGGCGGUGUGUCACCGGGUCGAUCCCCCUGCUCAGCAGCUUCCUCCGGAUGUGCGUGUUCCAGUAGUUCUUGAUCUCGUUGUCCGUCCUUCCCGGCAGCCUUCCAGCGAUCAGGGACCAUCUGUACCGUACGUACCCAACAGAGACACGGGUUAGGAAAUGAUGAAUAAUAAUGGUGUAAAUGUUGCAGGCGAGACGACGGCGAGGUAUCGGAGAGGGAGGCACGCACGCCGCGCGCGGUAGUAGUCUUACUUGUUGCCGAGGAGGCUGUGGAGCUUGAUGAUGAGCUCGUCCUCCUCUUCCGUGAAGUUGCCGCGCUUGAGGUCGGGGCGGAGGUAGUUGAUCCACCGGAGGCGGCAGCUCUUGCCGCAGCGCAGGAGGCCGGCGGCCUUGGGCAGCGAGCGCCAGCAACCCUCGCCGUGCGCCUUGAUGUACGCCACGAGGCGGUCGUCCUCCUCCUUGGUCCACGCGCCCUUGUUGGUGUGCGCCUUCUCGCAGCACGGCGACCUCCCCAUGAUGGAGGUGUUGUGGUACGCUCGGCCGGCCGGGCACCCAACCAAUCCGAUGCUGCUACCUUGCCUGCUGCUUUCCUGGUCCUUCCUUUUGGCAGCCGCCGCCGCUUUUCUUCCCCCUCCUCGCCUCUCGGGUGCGUUGCGGGCGGCAGUGGAGGUUGGUUGCUGCUGCUGCUGCUGCUGCGAGUGCGAUCGAGGUGCGAGCCAAGGCCCAAGCUAGGGUGGGUGAAGGUGAAGCGGGGCUGGAUUUUAUAGGCACUUGACUGGAUCGCUGGAGGUCUGGUCUUCUAGAGGCAAAGGCUCUGUGAGUUGGUGGCAAAAAAGGUUAGGCCGCCGGCC